CAGCAGCCGCGGUAAUACGUAGGGGGCGAGCGUUCCCCGGAUUCACUGGGCGUAAAGCGGGUGUAGGCGGCUCGGUAAGUCGGGUGUGAAAUCCCACAGCUCAACUGUGGAAUUGCGCCCGAAACUGCUGAGCUUGGGGCCGGUAGAGGGAGACGGAACUGCCGGUGUAGGGGUGAAAUCCGUAGAUAUCGGCAGGAACGCCGGUGGGCAAGCCGGUCUCCUGGGCCGCGCCCGACGCUGAGACCCGAAAGCUAGGGGAGCAAACCGGAUUAGAUACCCGGGUAGUCCUAGCCGUAAACGAUGCCCACUAGGUGUGGGGGAUUAAUUCCUCCGUGCUGUAGCUAACGCGUUAAGUGGGCCGCCUGGGGAGUACGCCCGCAAGGGUGAAACUUAAAGGAAUUGGCGGG
rnacentral:rRNA from 1 species